UACACGACCGUACCGCAAACCGACACUGGUGCGCGAGAUGAGUAUUCUAAGGCGCUUGAGAGAACUCAGGAGAAGGAACUCGGCAAAUUGACACCGUAACUUCGGAAGAAGGUGUGCCUUUAGUAGGUGAACCUGUACAAGGGGAGCCCAAUGAGGUUGCAAAAAAUCGGUGGCUGCGACUGUUUAAUAAAAACACAGCACUCUGCAAACACGAAAGUGGACGUAUAGGGUGUGACGCCUGCCCGGUGCUGGAAGAUUAAAUGAUGGGGUGCAAGCUCUUGAUUGAAGUCCCAGUAAACGGCGGCCGUAACGAUAACGGUCCUAAGGUAGCGAAAUUCCUUGUCGGGUAAGUUCCGACCUGCACGAAUGGCGUAACGAUGGCCACACUGUCUCCUCCUGAGACUCAGCGAAGUUGAAAUGUUUGUGAUGAUGCAAUCUCCCCGCGGAAAGACGGAAAGACCCCAUGAACCUUUACUGUAGCUUUGUAUUGGACUUUGAACAGAUCUGUGUAGGAUAGGUGGGAGGCUUUGAAGUGUGGUCGCUAGAUCGCAUGGAGCCAACGUUGAAAUACCACCCUGGUGUGUUUGAGGUUCUAACCUAGGCCCGUAAUCCGGGUCGGGGACAGUGCAUGGUAGGCAGUUUGACUGGGGCGGUCUCCUCCCAAAGCGUAACGGAGGAGUUCGAAGGUACGCUAGGUACGGUCGGACAUGUGCUAAUAGUGCAAUGGCAUAAGCGUGCUUAACUGCGAGACUGACAAGUCGAGCAGAUGCGAAAGCAGGACAUAGUGAUCCGGUGGUUCUGUAUGGAAGGGCCAUCGCUCAACGGAUAAAAGGUACUCUGGGGAUAACAGGCUGAUACCGCCCAAGAGUUCAUAUCGACGGCGGUGUUUGGCACCUCGAUGUCGGCUCAUCUCAUCCUGGGGCUGUAGCCGGUCCCAAGGGUAUGGCUGUUCGCCAUUUAAAGAGGUACGUGAGCUGGGUUUAAAACGUCGUGAGACAGUUUGGUCCCUAUCUUCCGUGGGCGCUGCAGAUUUGAGGAAGCCUGCUCCUAGUACGAGAGGACCGGAGUGGACACACCUCUGGUGUAUCGGUUGUCACGCCAGUGGCAUUGCCGAGUAGCUAUGUGUGGAAGAGAUAACCGCUGAAAGCAUCUAAGCGGGAAACUCGUUUCAAGAUGAGAUCUGCCGGGGCCUUGAGCCCCCUAAAGAGUCGUUCAAGACCAGGACGUUGAUAGGUCGGGUGUGGAAGCGCAGUAAUGCGUUAAGCUAACCGAUACUAAUUGCUCGUGCGGCUUGACCAA
rnacentral:rRNA from 1 species